rnacentral:sRNA from 1 species
UACUUCAACUGGUGCUUUAUGCUUGGC